rfam:Dipodomys ordii contig_6257, whole genome shotgun sequence.
GGGAAGGUGGCUCAGUGGUAGAGCACUUGCCUUGCAUGCUCGAGGCCCUGGGUUC